UGGGGGAUAUUGCACAAUGGGCGAAAGCCUGAUGCAGCGACGCCGCGUGGGGGAUGAAGGCUUUCGGGUUGUAAACCUCUUUCGCUAUCGAACAAGGCCCGCUUAGGGUGGGUUGAGGGUAGGUGGAGAAGAAGCGCCGGCUAACUACGUGCCAGCAGCCGCGAUAAUACGUAGGGCGCGAGCGUUGUCCGGAAUUAUUGGGCGUAAAGGGCUUGUAGGCGGCUUGUUGCGCCUGCUGUGAAAACGCGGGGCUUAACUUCGCGCGUGCAGUGGGUACGGGCAGGCUUGAGUGUUGUAGUGGUGACUGGAAUUCCAGGUGUAGCGGUGGAAUGCGCAGAUAUCUGGAGGAACACCGAUGGCGAAGGCAGGUCACUGGGCCAUUACUGACGCUGAGGAGCGAAAGCAUGGGUAGCGAACAGG
rnacentral:rRNA from 1 species